rnacentral:rRNA from 1 species
UACGUAGGUGGCAAGCGUUAUCCGGAAUUACUGGGUGUAAAGGGCGCGCAGGCGGCCCUGCAAGUCGGAUGUGAAAGAUCAAGGCUCAACCUUGACAGGCCAUUCGAAACUGUGGGACUUGAGUGUCAGAGGGGAAAGUGGAAUUCCUAGUGUAGCGGUAAAAUGCGCAGAUAUUAGGAGGAACACCGGUGGCGAAGGCGACUUUCUGACUGACAACUGACGCUGAGGCGCGAAAGACGUGGGGAGGCAAACAGGAUUAGAUACCCCGUACGU